AUACGGAGGAUCCGAGCGUCAUCCGGAUUUAUUGGGUUUAAAGGGUGCGCAGGCGGGAGAUUAAGUCGGCGGUGAAAUUUUACAGCUCAACUGUAAAAGUGCCUUCGAAACUGGUUUCCUUGAGUGUAGAUGAAGUAGGCGAAAUUUGGGGUGUAGCGGUGAAAUGCAUAGAUAUCACGAGGAACUCCGAUUGCGCAGGCAGCUUACUAAACUACUACUGACGCUCAGGCACGAAGGCGUGGGGAUCAAACAGGAUUAGAUACCCUGGUAGUCCACGCAGUAAACGAUGAUUACUAGCUGUUUGCGAUACAAUGUAAGCGGCUGAGCGAAAGCGUUAAGUAAUCCACCUGGGGAGUACGUUCGCAAGAAUGAAACUCAAAGGAAUUGACGGGG
rnacentral:rRNA from 1 species